UACGGGGGGGGCAAGCGUUGUUCGGAAUUACUGGGCGUAAAGGGCUCGUAGGCGGCCAACUAAGUCGGACGUGAAAUCCCCAGGCUCAACCUGGGAACUGCGUCCGAUACUGGAUGGCUUGAAUUCGGGAGAGGUAUGCAGGGGAGAACGGAAUUCCUGGUGUAGCGGUGAAAUGCGCAGAUAUCAGGUGGAACACCAGUGGCGAAGGCGGUGAUCUGGGCCGGUACUGACGCUGAGGAGCGAAAGCGUGGGAGCAAACAGG
rnacentral:rRNA from 1 species